rnacentral:lncRNA from 1 species
UGUGUCCUCGCCGGUCGCCGCGGCAGCCAGUGAUGCCCGAGCGGCGGGUUCCCAGGCCCAGGUGUGGGCGCCACCGCCCACCAUGCGCCAAGCCCAGAGCCUGGUUGAAUCGUUCGCCACCUUGUCUACCCAUUUUGGCCAUUAUCCUGCCACCUCCAAAUCCUGUUUUUGACACUUCUCGGGAGAGAGAGAAAACGGAAAGAUAAAGGAAUAAACUCCUCGUGGUCGUAGUUAGUGGGUAAAUUCAGAUCUCGUUUGAACCGAGGUUUUUCUUAUCUCCAGCCACCGUAUCCACCACCACCAGAAUCGUCUUUUUAGUCAUCACAGCUGGUCGCCGUCAGUACCUUGUUCAGAAGCCUCUCGCAGCUUCCAUCGUGUGGUUAUACAAUCCAAAUUCCUUAUAAAGUCCAAAUUCAAGAGGAGGAAUGCACGUUUAGUUAAGUUAAUGUCUAGACCUUACCAGCCAAUUUCUAGCUCCUCAGUAUGGAAAUUGCAACUGAAAACACCCCUUCCAAAAAAAGCAGUCUGCAUUUUUCUCUGAGUUUUCUUCUCCAAAUUUCGCACCCCUGACCUUGCUUACACACUCUGGAUACCACCUGCUGUGGAGUGGCGGAAGCAGACAUCCAGCGAUAGCUAAGUUUCCUGUCGUUGACACCCAAGCAAGACAGGCGUGUACCUAACUGAGGACCUGCCGGUGAUAGAAGUCUCAGCUUUUCUCAGAGACAGAUGAGUCUUCCCUUUAAAUGCUGCAAAGUGCUGCAUAGUAGAUGUUAAAUGAAAGUCAGAAAGAAUCAAAUGUGCUGCAAAUAAUUGAAGGGACUGGGGAGCCACGUGCCACCUCUCCUGCCAGAGUUCUGUUCAGCUGUGCCAACAGAUAUACACAAGGAAACCAGAAGAUAAGAGACCAGAUUACAGAGGGGUAUUGAUUUGCCUUUCCCCCGCCCCCACCAUCACAGUGUGUCCCUGUCCAGUGUUGGUGCUCUGUGGCAUUGCUUGUGUCCAUAGGAGUCCAUCAAGGCAGAGCGGCAAGAGCCAGUUCAACCCAAUGGAAAUAGAUUAAAAGAGUGAAAGUCACUGGUCUCAAAGAAUCUACGGAAUUCAGCAUUUUGGAAAUCACAUAGCAAUUUUGGGUAGGUAUUCACAUGCACUAAAAAACCAGGCAAACAUCCGACUCCCAGGAUAAAGUGACUGAGAGCAGUAGAAGACUUGUUGAGCCGUAAGGAAUAAGAGGAAAAUUAUGUUAUGAAGUGCAGGAACAGCACAGACCCAGACGAGGGGAUGCAGCCCAGAGCCAGUAACCCGGUGCCUCCUCCUCCCCAGGAAGCAGCGCUGGCUGAUCCCCAGAUACCAUGAUCACACCGUCCCAGGUCCUGAGAGCGCCUCAUAGGUAGACAGUUCUUUGGGACUUUUGGGACGCAGCACUUGAAGAGAGGUCUACCUAAACUUUCCUCCUGGGAGCCUGUGAUCAUUUGAAAGUAACAGAAGAAAGUUGUCAGGCUGAGGAAAGUUUCAACAGGCACUUGGUGAGAAUGGGAAGCAUCCAUUCAUUGCGAAAUCGCGGGGACAGAGGAGGAAUUCACGGGAUCAGAGCACUGAGAAACUCCAGAGGCUUCUGGUUCACCGCCCUGAUUCCACAGAUGUGGGUCAGAGGCAGAGAUGGAAGUUGGAAUGGACAAGCCUGCCCUCUCAUCGGCUCUCCAUGGCUCUGUCCUCAGGCUGUUUCUGCAAUUUGACAUGAGGCCUGGCCCCAGGGAAACCAGUGGGGCCUCAUCUCCUCCCUGUGCUGCUCUGAGAUGGAGUCUUCUCAGGGUCAGUCCAGCUCUGGAGCCCCUCUCCAGCUCGGUCACCAAAGCUGUCUGGUCCCAGGGCGGUGCUGAGUGACAGGCACACCAGCCAGUCCAAUUGGCCAUUUCAUACCCAAUGCAUGUGACUGAUAAAGAGAUAACACCCUGUCUCCAAGACACAGGCUUUACAUAAACAGCUUUAAUGACCUCUUCACCUAGAGACAAGACUCCUUAGUGGUGGAACCUCAGGCAUCCGUGCAGGAUGUAAGAAAGCUCCCGUAUAUACAUGAACUGAGAAGUGUGUAGAAGAAUAAAUACUGUAAUAGGUAAUAAAAUGUAUGUAUUUUUAUUUA